GGAGGUUAUUAAGUUCCUAUAUGAGGUUUAUUAAUCUGGUUUUUGAUUAAGAUAUCCAAGUUUGGUUAUUGGUCGAGUCUAUUAAUCUAAUUCCUAAGGAACUGAACUUGGGCUCAGUGUCUAAUUCCAAGAAAGGGGGAGUGUUUUGUAUUAUUUUAAAAUUGCCGGAGGCAAUACAAAUGUUGAUAUGGGGUACCCCUUUUUUUGCUUCUUAUGUUGUCGGCAUAGUUCUUGUUUAUAUACUAUGUAAAGUUUAAGGGACAGACAUGGUUUCUUCUUAUCUCUCUCACCAAGUUGAAUUCUUAAUGUUGUUGGAUAGUCCUUAAAAGAUCCUUGUAACUUGGCUUCAAUCUGAGGACCUAGU